rnacentral:misc_RNA from 1 species
CCGAGUUUACAACUCCCAAACCCCUGUGAACAUACCUAUACGUUGCCUCGGCGGAUCAGCCCGCGCCCCGUAAAAAGGGACGGCCCGCCCGAGGACUCCUAAACUCUGUUUUUAGUGGAACUUCUGAGUAAAACAAACAAAUAAAUCA